GCUCAGGAUGAACGCUGGCGGCAUGCCUAAUACAUGCAAGUCGAACGAGAGGAAGGAAAGCUUGCUUUUCUGAAUCUAGUGGCGAACGGGUGAGUAACACGUAGGUAACCUGCCCAUGUGCCCGGGAUAACUUCUGGAAACGGAUGCUAAAACCGGAUAGGUAGCAGACAAGCAUUUGACUGCUAUUAAAGUGGCCUUGGCCAUGAACAUGGAUGGACCUGCGGUGCAUUAGCUGGUUGGUGAGGUAACGGCCCACCAAGGCGACGAUGCAUAGCCGGCCUGAGAGGGCGGACGGCCACAUUGGGACUGAGACACGGCCCAAACUCCUACGGGAGGCAGCAGUAGGGAAUUUUCGUCAAUGGGGGGAACCCUGAACGAGCAAUGCCGCGUGAGUGAGGAAGGUCUUCGGAUCGUAAAGCUCUGUUGUAAGAGAAAAACGGCACUCAUAGGGAAUGAUGAGUGAGUGAUGGUAUCUUACCAGAAAGUCACGGCUAACUACGUGCCAGCAGCCGCGGUAAUACGUAGGUGGCGAGCGUUAUCCGGAAUGAUUGGGCGUAAAGGGUGCGUAGGUGGCAGAUCAAGUCUGGAGUAAAAGGUAUGGGCUCAACCCGUACUGGCUCUGGAAACUGAUCAGCUAGAGAACAGAAGAGGACGGCGGAACUCCAUGUGUAGCGGUAAAAUGCGUAGAUAUAUGGAAGAACACCGGUGGCGAAGGCGGCCGUCUGGUCUGGAUUCUGACACUGAAGCACGAAAGCGUGGGGAGCAAAUAGGAUUAGAUACCCUAGUAGUCCACGCCGUAAACGAUGAGAACUAGGUGUUGGGGGAAUAACUCAGUGCCGCAGUUAACGCAGUAAGUUCUCCGCCUGGGGAGUAUGCACGCAAGUGUGAAACUCAAAGGAAUUGACGGGGGCCCGCACAAGCGGUGGAGUAUGUGGUUUAAUUCGACGCAACGCGAAGAACCUUACCAGGUCUUGACAUUGAUCGCGAUCUGCAGAAAUGCGGAGUUCUUCUUCGGAAGACGAGAAAACAGGUGGUGCACGGCUGUCGUCAGCUCGUGUCGUGAGAUGUUGGGUUAAGUCCCGCAACGAGCGCAACC
rnacentral:rRNA from 1 species